UACAGAGGUCCCGAGCGUUGUUCGGAUUCACUUGGGCGUAAAGGGUGCGUAGGUGGUGAGGUAAGUCGGAUGUGAAAUCUCCGGGCUCAACCCGGAAAUGGCAUUGGAAACUACCUUGCUGGAGGAUUUGAGGGGGGAUUGGAAUACUUGGUGUAGCAGUGAAAUGCGUAGAUAUCAAGUGGAACACCAGUGGCGAAGGCGAAUCCCUGGAAAAUACCUGACACUGAGGCACGAAAGCUAGGGGAGCAAACAGG
rnacentral:rRNA from 1 species